UGGGGAAUUUUGGGCAAUGGCCGCAAGGCUGACCCAGCGACGCCGCGUGCGGGAGGAAGCCUUUCGGGGUGUAAACCGCUGUCAGGGGGGACGAACCCUCGCAGGACGAACAGGUCUGCGAGCUGACGGUACCUCCAGAGGAAGCGCCGGCUAACUCCGUGCCAGCAGCCGCGGUAAGACGGAGGGCGCGAGCGUUGUUCGGAAUCACUGGGCGUAAAGCGCGCGCAGGCGGGACCAGCAAGUCGGAAGUGAAAUCCCGGGGCUCAACUCCGGGGCUGCUUCCGAGACUGCGGACCUGGGGACCGGUAGAGGCCGGUGGAAUUCCCGGUGUAGCGGUGGAAUGCGUAGAGAUCGGGAAGAACACCCGUGGCGAAGGCGGCCGGCUGGGCCGGAUCCGACGCUGAGGCGCGAAAGCGUGGGGAGCAAACAGG
rnacentral:rRNA from 1 species